rnacentral:tRNA from 1 species
GGGCAGAUGGCCGAGUGGUCUAAGGCGCUAGUUUUAGGUUUCCCUCUCCAAUCAGAGGUUCAGCAUCACUAGUCCUCGGGCGUGGGUUCAAAUCCCACUCUGCUCA